rnacentral:rRNA from 1 species
UACGUAGGUGGCGAGCGUUGUCCGGAUUUACUGGGCGUAAAGGGAGCGUAGGCGGACUUUUAAGUGAGAUGUGAAAUACUCGGGCUCAACUUGAGUGCUGCAUUUCAAACUGGAAGUCUAGAGUGCAGGAGAGGAGAAUGGAAUUCCUAGUGUAGCGGUGAAAUGCGUAGAGAUUAGGAAGAACACCAGUGGCGAAGGCGAUUCACUGGACUGUAACUGACGCUGAGGCUCGAAAGCGUGGGGAGCAAACAGG